rnacentral:rRNA from 1 species
UAAGGAAUAUUGGUCAAUGGAGGCAACUCUGAACCAGCCAUGCCGCGUGCAGGAUGAAGGCCCUCUGGGUCGUAAACUGCUUUUAUCAGGGAAGAAAUCACUGGUUUCUACGAGUGUUGACGGUACCUGAGGAAUAAGCACCGGCUAACUCCGUGCCAGCAGCCGCGGUAAUACGGAGGGUGCAAGCGUUAUCCGGAUUUACUGGGUUUAAAGGGUGCGUAGGCGGGCCCUUAAGUCAGUGGUGAAAGCUCCGAGCUUAACUCGGAAACUGCCAUUGAUACUAUAGGUCUUGAAUUCGGUCGAGGUUGGCGGAAUGUGUCGUGUAGCGGUGAAAUGCUUAGAUAUGACACAGAACACCGAUUGCGAAGGCAGCUAGCUAGACCGACAUUGACGCUGAGGCACGAAAGCGUGGGGAUCAAACAG